AUGCGUAUGUAUGUAGGGCGGUCAUCUCUCACAGGCAAGCUCAUCAUCAUCUGCCUCCUACCUAUCCAGUAUCCAUCCUACUCUAUAUAUGACGACGAGAAUGAGGUGACAAGACGCCGCCGCACUAAUUAUUGUGAGCCUCCUCCUAUCCACUCGCCUCGUCUCACCCCCGCUUCCAUUUCUUCUCCUUCUUCACUGUCCAGGAGCUGUAAUAUGCUUGGCUUGAUGGCAGCUCCAUGCCAAUCUCCCCAAGGAGGAAAUGAGCUCUACGAUGACUGUGAUCCUACGGUGUACGGAGGCCGGGUCCUGCUGCCCCGGCAGGCCAGCUCGGCGCCACCGGCUGGGCCGCCGGAGCUGUCGACGACGUCCUCGUCGACGGGGUCGGGGAGGACCGCGACGGAGGCAAGGGCACUGAAGGUCCACAGUGAGGCCGAGCGCCGGCGUCGGGUGAGGAUCAACGCUCAUCUCACGGCGCUCAGGAGGAUGAUCCCUGAUACCAAGCAGAUGGACAAGGCCGCCUUGCUAGCCAGGGUGGUGGACCAAGUGAGGCACCUCAAGAGGAGAGCAAGCGAGGCCGCACAGGCACAGCAAAUGCCGGCCGUCCCGCCGGAGGCCGACGAGGUCUCCGUGGAAUUCUGCUGCACCGGGGACACCGACGACGACAAUAGACGCCUGUACAUGAAGGCGUCUGUCAGCUGCGACGAUCGGCCGGACCUCGUCGCCGGUUUCAUCCAGGCGCUCCAUGGCCUGAGGUUGAGGACGGUGAGAGCGGAGGUGACCUCCCUAGGUGGAAGGGUGCGGCAUGUCUUCACACUCUGCAAGGAGGAGGAGGAGGAAGGCAGUGCAGCAGCAGGUCGUGCUGGACUGAAUUCUCUGAAGGAGGCUGUGAGGCAUGCUCUGUCCAAGGUUGCUUCACCAGAGCUGGUGUGUGGCGGCAGUCCGUUCCAGUUCCAGAGCAAGAGGCAGAGGAUUCUUGAGUCGCAUUACUCAAUCAUGUCCAUAUAG
rnacentral:rRNA from 1 species